GUCAAUGACAUGCGGCGGAGGCACGACGGUGGUGCACGAUGGCGCAAGGGUGCGUUUCUUCUUCUUCGUUCUGUUUUGAGUUGUGAUGUAAGGAGGAAGUUUCCUUCUUCUCCUCCUCUUUUGAUUUUGUGACUUAGGGUUUCAGUUGUUCAUCAAAAUUUGGGGUUUCUAAUAUGAUUAUUUGAUUUCUUCUGCAAGUUGAGAUGUAGGGUUUCAUUGAACUGAAUUUGGGGUUUUUCUAUUCUUCGAUUAAGG
rnacentral:lncRNA from 1 species